rnacentral:rRNA from 1 species
AAUCAACGCUGGCGGCGUGCCUCAGACAUGCAAGUCGAACGCGAAAGUCCCCUUCGGGGGACAAGUAGAGUGGCGCACGGGUGAGUAACACGUGGGUGACCUGCCCUCAGCUCUGGGAUAAGCCUGGGAAACUGGGUCUAAUACUGGAUAUGACUCCACGGUGCAUGUCGUGGGGUGGAAAGCCUUGUGCGGCUGAGGAUGGGCCCGCGGCCUAUCAGCUUGNGGUGGGUGAUGGCCUACCAAGGCGACGACGGGUAGCCGGCCUGAGAGGGCGACCGGCCACACUGGGACUGAGACACGGCCCAGACUCCUACGGGAGGCAGCAGUGGGGAAUCUUGCGCAAUGGGCGAAAGCCUGACGCAGCGACGCCGCGUGA